rnacentral:rRNA from 1 species
AUGCAACGCGAAGAACCUUACCUGGUCUUGACAUCCCGGACGACCUUAGGAAACUAGGGGGUGCUUCCAUCUGGAAAGAAUCUGGAGACAGGUGCUGCAUGGCUGUCGUCAGCUCGUGUCGUGAGAUGUUGGGUUAAGUCCCGCAACGAGCGCAACCCUUGCCUUUAGUUGCCAGCAGUUCGGCUGGGCACUCUAAAGGGACUGCCGGUGUUAAACCGGAGGAAGGUGGGGAUGACGUCAAGUCCUCAUGGCCUUUAUGACCAGGGCUACACACGUACUACAAUGGCCGAUACAAAGGGCAGCGACACUGCGAGGUGAAGCCAAUCCCGUAAAAUCGGUCUCAGUCCGGAUUGGAGUCUGCAACUCGACUCCAUGAAGUUGGAAUCGCUAGUAAUCGUGGAUCAGCAUGCCACGGUGAAUACGUUCCCGGGCCUU